AUUGAACGCUGGCGGCAGGCCUAACACAUGCAAGUCGAGCGGAUGAAGGGAGCUUUCUCUUGUCUUCCGCGGCGGACGGGCGGGUAAUUCCCAGGAAUCUGCCUGGUAGUUGGGGCUAACGUCCCUUCACGGGCGCUAAUCCCGCAUCCGUUCUUAUGUAGAACGUCGGGGUUCUUUAGACCUCACCCUUUUUGCUGUCCCUAGGUGGGAUUAGCUAGUUGGUUGGGUAAAGGCCUACCAAGGCGACGAUCCGUAACUGGUCUGAGAGGAUGAUCAGUCACACUGGAACUGAGACACGGUCCAGACUCCUACGGGAGGCAGCAGUAGGGAAUAUUGGGCAAUGGGCGAAAGCCUGAUCGAGCCAUGCCGCGUGAGUGAAGAAGGUCUUCGGAUUGUAAAACACUGUAAGUAGGGAAGAAGAGAAGUGAGAGAAAACAUGGCUGUUUUGACGUUACCAACAGAGAAAGCAACGGCUAACUACGUG
rnacentral:rRNA from 1 species